UUGGUCUGAUUUCACCAGCUCUUGCCACACAAAUGCAACUCUCACCACAUUUGACACCUUGGACAUUAGUACAUUUCAAGAGAGGAAAGUGUCCUGAAUGCCACAGUUAUAUCCUAUCAAAAAGAUACUGGCACUUCUUGAAACAAAAAACCUACAAAAGUGUUUGGGAGACUGAUGAUGAUGCUAAAUUAGAAAAAAGGAUUAAGCAGAAGAUCCACCAAACCUCAUCUUCCAUGUUCAGGAAUCUUAUAGCUAGAGUGAAGACAAAAAUUUGCGUAGCUUUUGAUUAAAGAUCAAAUUCACUUUGUAAAUAAUUAAUCUUUAUGUAUAACACAUAUAUUUUAUUAAAUAAGAAGUUUUCUUAAAACCAUGCAUUCAAAAACUUCUGUCCAGAUUU
rnacentral:lncRNA from 1 species